UUUGCCUUUUCAUUAAUCAAUUAAUAUCACAUCCAUGUAGAUGUUGAAAAGAGUAUAUUUUUGUAGUACAUUAAUUCGAAUUACAACUGUAUACAGUUAUGUUAUCCGGUUGCUGUAUUAAUUUUAUGGUCAGGAGACUUGAUAUUAGUAAGUUAAGCAUUUCCAGUUAAAACAUUAAUUAAUAAGUAGUAAAGAAAACUUUGACUGAUUUUAUUAUUUUUGUUAAUAACAUUUAUUAUUGUGAUACGUUGAUGAUGCAACUGUGAUACUUGACUUUUUCUUACUUCAUUACAGUUUUGAUAUGUCA